rnacentral:misc_RNA from 1 species
AGGACCAUGAGUAAGAGUAUGAGUAUUAGACCCAGAAGGAGUCUGAGCAAGAGUCCAAGUGUUAGUCCAAAGAGAAGCAUGAGCAGGAGUCCACCACAUAUCUCACGGAGGAGUUUCAGCAGAAGUCCUGCUAGAAGUGGUAGCAGCAGGAACCCUGCUAGAAGGCUCAGCAGAAGGCCAGCUAAAAGUUUCCGCCAAAGAGGGGCAAAAAGGCUAGAAGCAUUAGCAAGAGCCCUGUGAGAUCUCAUUAUCGAAGAAGCACAGGCAGGAGCCCUGUUCGAUCUCCUCCUCGAAGAAGCAAGAGCAGGAGCACACCUAGAGCAUCAUCACGAAAAUCAAUUAGCAGAAGUCCUGUUAGGUCUUCUCGAAGAGGAUUUAGCAGAAGCCCGGUUAGGUCUUAUCGGCGAAGCACUAGCAGAAGCCCAGUUAGAUCAUCUCGUAGAAGCAUUAGCAGAAGCUCUGGUAGGGUUCCUUCAAAGAGAAGUGUUAGUAGAAGUCCAUUUAGGGCUCCAAGUAGGAACAAUCGUCGUAGCUAUUCAAGAAGCCCUAGGCCCAUACGUAGGGCAAGAUCUCCUCCUGUUCAAAGAAGUUUGUCAAGAAGUGUUUCCCCUGAUGGGUCUCCCAAACGCAUUAGAAGAGGGCGUGGUUUUAGUCAACGGUACUCUUAUGCUAGGCGAUACAGAACCCCUUCUGUAGAUCGCUCUUCUGUUAGAUCAUACCGAUAUAGCAGAAGCGACCGUGACAGAUAUUCAAGUUACAGGAGAUAUUCACCUAGGCGGUAUAGAAGCCCACCNNNNNAACCCCUCCUAGAUAUAGAGGUAGGAGAAGAACAAGGAGCCCAUCUGUAUCACGAAGCCCUCGCUACCGUAGCCGUCGCUACAGUCCUAGUCAUAGCCCAGUUUGUAGUCGUUCCCCUGUUGAUGCACCUAGGUCUCGUGCCUCUCCACAGGCUGAAAGGUCUCCUUCUCAUAGUCGGAGCCUGUCAGUAUCACAGUCAUCAUUGGACUCCCAGUCUCCUAAACGAGCGAGCAGAGACGGAUCAAGGUCAUCAUCAGGAAGUCCUAGUGGGAGGAGGGGCCUGGUGUCGUACGAAGAUGGUUCACCUGAUUCUUGUCAAAGGUGAACAAGGAUGUAAUGAAG